rnacentral:rRNA from 1 species
GGAUCCAGACUUUGAUCCUGGCUCAGGAUGAACGCUAGCUACAGGCUUAACACAUGCAAGUCGAGGGGCAGCAUCAUCAAAGCUUGCUUUGAUGGAUGGCGACCGGCGCACGGGUGAGUAACACGUAUCCCAACCUGCCGACAACACUGGGAUAGCCUUUCGAAAGAAAGAUUAAUACCGGAUGGCAUAGUUUUCCCGCAUGGGAUGACUAUUAAAGAAUUUCGGUUGUCGAUGGGGAUGCGUUCCAUUAGGCAGUUGGCGGGGUAACGGCCCACCAAACCUACGAUGGAUAGGGGUUCUGAGAGGAAGGUCCCCCACAUUGGAACUGAGACACGGUCCAAACUCCUACGGGAGGCAGCAGUGAGGAAUAUUGGUCAAUGGACGAGAGUCUGAACCAGCCAAGUAGCGUGAAGGAUGACUGCCCUAUGGGUUGUAAACUUCUUUUAUACGGGAAUAAAGUGAGCCACGUGUGGCUUUUUGUAUGUACCGUAUGAAUAAGGAUCGGCUAACUCCGUGCCAGCAGCCGCGGUAAUACGGAGGAUCCGAGCGUUAUCCGGAUUUAUUGGGUUUAAAGGGAGCGUAGGCGGGUUGUUAAGUCAGUUGUGAAAGUUUGCGGCUCAACCGUAAAAUUGCAGUUGAUACUGGCGACCUUGAGUGCAACAGAGGUAGGCGGAAUUCGUGGUGUAGCGGUGAGAUGCUUAGAUAUCACGAAGAACUCCGAUUGCGGAGGCAGCUUACUGGAUUGUAACUGACGCUGAUGCUCGAAAGUGUGGGUAUCAAACAGGAUUAGAUACCCUGGUAGUCCACACAGUAAACGAUGAAUACUCGCUGUUGGCGAUAUACGGUCAGCG